rnacentral:lncRNA from 1 species
CUAUGACUUCUUCUUUUCAUGUUUCAUGAUUAUCGUUGUAAUGUCUUAUGAUGCCCUGUAAUCCAUUUAUUUAACACCCAUUGGUUGCAUAUACAAUUAGGGAUUGGUGUUAAGGGAGAAAUGGUGAAUGACACACUGUCCCUGCCCUUAUGAUGUUCACAGCCUAGUAGAAAUACAGGCAACUAAGUCCCUAUGAUGGAAGCAUCCAGUCAAAGAGUGCAAAGGAAAAGAGUGGUGAUGGGACGUAUCUUCUAAGCUUUGGCGCAAAACCUGAAAAGGCUCUGAGGAGAGAAAGUCAAGGCCAUUCUAGGAACUGCAGGAGAGCAAAAUCAUGUUAUAACAUCCUUGAAAAUUGAAGACCCGCCUUAAGCAUUUCUGUUGACUUGGAAACUGCAGUCCAUUCCAUUGUCAGACAGUUCUGAAGAUAGGAAGUUCUUAAUACUGAAACCAACUCUGGUCUCCUCAUUCCUCAAGCAACUCUAGUCUGGCUCUUUUCCUCACCAUUCCUCCAA